rnacentral:rRNA from 1 species
UACGAAGGGUGCAAGCGUUAAUCGGAAUUACUGGGCGUAAAGCGCGCGUAGGUGGUUCAGCAAGUUGGAUGUGAAAGCCCUGGGCUUAACCUGGGAAGUGCAUUGGAAACUGGCGAACUUGAGUAUGGGAGAGGAAAGUGGAAUUCCGAGUGUAGGGGUGAAAUCCGUAGAUAUUCGGAGGAACACCAGUGGCGAAGGCGGCUUUCUGGACCAAUACUGACGCUGAGACGCGAAAGCGUGGGGAGCAAACAGGAUUAGAAACCCGGGUAGU